GUUUUUACCAGCAACAACUUUCAGGGCCCUGAGAUGGACUGGUGACCUGUCCAGGGUGAAUCCCGCCUCUCAUCUGAUGACUGCUGGACAUGGGCACCACCAGCCCCCCUCACCAUCCUUCAAGGCUCAGCGUGUUCAGAUCAUGGAUGGAAAGAUUUUAAGGUAGUUUGUCUCCUUUAAGUCCACACUUCAGCUUCAUAAUUAAUGCCAACAUCAACUGAUUUUAUGAUAUUGCUGACUAUUUUUUCUACUUCUGACAUAAACAGGCAAAGAAGUCACCUAGAAAUGUUUUUUCACUCCAGGCAUUCAGUCCCAAUCAUCAUCUGUUCUGAUGAUGCCACAUACAUAGAGAGUCCACAACAUCUUAAAAUUAUAAGUCAAAUGUUUUUCUUUGCCAGUUUUCUGUACUCUUUAAAAUACAAGAGCUUUCUCCGUUUAAUUCCUCUAUUGUUCUUUUUUGUAGGUUUCUGUAAAAUGCGAUGGAUGGGAAUGUUCUGUCAUUGAUCCUCACUGUUCUUAGGAAGGAGAAAUGUCAGUUUGUCUGCAGUAAAACUGAAAUACUGUGGCAUUGAAUUAAAGCAAUACUCUGUGCUUGGUGAAAUAUUUUUCACAUUUCUCUAAAGUGUACUUAUUUUAUUAUGGUGCUAAUUUUCAUAAGCAUGUUAUCUGUAAACGUUUACUAUAUU